rnacentral:tRNA from 1 species
GGUAAGGUAGCACAGUUGGUGCGGCAGAUUGUAGCCCUGACGACGGGGAGAAGCCCCUCUUGCCA